rnacentral:lncRNA from 1 species
UUUUGAAACAAAGGCGGCGCGGCCGCUCACCCCAGAAAUCAGAAGGCCGGGCACGGAACAAAAGGUCUCACGCUUAGCUUGACCACGCAGUAGUAGCGCAAUUAGCAUUGCAUUUCAGAGGAAAAGACUGGCCAACCUUAUUGCUUUGAGUUAAAAGUCGCCGAGGAGACGAAGUGUCCCGGUUCCAAAACCUUAUACCUCCCCAUCUUGUGAAGAUAGAAAGAACUCUACGAGCGUGUGCGCGUUAUAUCGUAGCC